rnacentral:rRNA from 1 species
ACAUGUUUACAUCAUAGUGUUAAUGCAUUGGAUCCCAUUAAAAAUCCACAGUUAAGUGUUCUUGGGAUAGAGUAGUACUGGGAUAGGUGACUUCCUGGGAAGUCCUAGUGUGCUACAUGCU